CCUACGGGUGGCAGCAGUGAGGAAUAUUGGUCAAUGGACGCAAGUCUGAACCAGCCAUGCCGCGUGCAGGAAGACGGCGCCAUGAGUUGUAAACUUCUUUUGUAUGAGGACAAACUCAGAUACGCGUAUCUGUCUGAAAGUAUCUUACGAAUAAGCAUCGGCUAACUCCGUGCCAGCAGCCGCGGUAAUACGGAGGAUUCAAGCGUUAUCCGGAUUUAUUGGGUUUAAAGGGUGCGUAGGCGGUCGGAUAAGUUAGAGGUGAAAUCCCGAGGCUCAACUUCGGAAUUGCCUUUGAUACUGUUUGGCUAGAGAGUAGUUGCGGUAGGCGGAAUGUAUGGUGUAGCGGUGAAAUGCUUAGAGAUCAUACAGAACUCCGAUUGCGAAGGCAGCUUACCA
rnacentral:rRNA from 1 species